rnacentral:rRNA from 1 species
GAUGAACGCUGGCGGCGUGCCUAAUACAUGCAAGUCGAGCGAACGGACGAGAAGCUUGUUUCUUUGAUGUUAGCGGCGGACGGGUGAGUAACACGUGGAUAACCUACUUAUAUUUCUGGGAUAAUUACGGAAAACCGGAUCUAAUACCGGAGAAUAUUUUGAACCGCAUGGUUCAAAAGUGAAAGUCGGUCUUGCUGUCUCUUAUAGAUGGUUCCGCGCUGCAUUAGCUAGUUGGUAAGGUAACGGCUUACCAAGGCAACGAUGCAUAGCCGACCUGAGAGGGUGAUCGGCCACACUGGAACUGAGACACGGUCCAGACUCCUACGGGAGGCAGCAGUAGGGAAUCUUCCGCAAUGGGCGAAAGCCUGACGCAGCAACGCCGCGUGAGUGAUGAAGGUCUUCGGAUCGUAAAACUCUGUUAUUGGGGAAGAACAUAUGUGUAAGUAACUGUGCACAUCUUGACGGUACCUAAUCAGAAAGCCACGGCUAACUACGUG